rfam:Ciona savignyi cont_49983, whole genome shotgun sequence.
CUUGAUUCUGUGGGUGGUGGUGCAUGGCCGUUCUUAGUUGGUGGAGCGAUUUGUCUGGUUAAUUCCGAUAACGAACGAGACUCUGGCUUGCUAAAUAGUUACGCGACCCAUCCCCGGUCGGCGUUUAACUUCUUAGAGGGACAAGUGGCGUUUAGCCACACGAAGAUUAGCAAUAACAGGUCUGUGAUGCCCUUAGAUGUUCGGGGCCGCACGCGCGCUACACUGACCGGAUCAGCGUGUGCUCUCCUUGGCCGACAGGUCCGGGAAACCCGUUGAACCCCGGUCGUGCUAGGGAUAGGGAAUUGCAAUUAUUUCCCUUGAACGAGGAAUUCCCAGUAAGCGCGAGUCAUUAGCUCGCGUUGAUUACGUCCCUGCCCUUUGUACACACCGCCCGUCGCUACUACCGAUUGAAUGGUUUAGUGAGGUCCUCCGAUUGGACCCGGUCCGGGCGGCGACGUCCGAGCCGGCGUCCGAGAAGACGAUCUAACUUGAUCAUUUAGAGGAAGUAAAAGUCGUAACAAGGUUUCCGUAGGUGAACCUGCGGAAGGAUCAUUA